GAUGAAGAACGUAGCGAAAUGCGAUAAGUAGUGUGAAUUGCAGAAUUCAGUGAAUCAUCUAAUCUUUGAACGCACAUUGCGCCCUUUGGUAUUCCUUAGGGCAUGCCUGUUCGAGCGUCAUUUAAACCUUCAAGCUCAGCUUGGUGUUGGGUGACUGUCCGCUUCACCGCGGACUCGCCUCAAAAUUAUUGGCGGCCGGUACAUUGGCUUCGAGCGCAGCAGAAACGCGAACUCGGGCCCGUCGUAUUGGCUCCCAGAAGCUAUCUUCACAAUUUUGACCUCGGAUCAGGUAGGGAUACCCGCUGAACUUAAGCAUAUCAAUAAGCGGAGGA
rnacentral:misc_RNA from 1 species